rnacentral:rRNA from 1 species
UACGUAGGGCGCAAGCGUUAUCCGGAAUUAUUGGGCGUAAAGAGCUCGUAGGCGGUCUGUCGCGUCUGCUGUGAAAACCCGAGGCUCAACCUCGGGCCUGCAGUGGGUACGGGCAGACUAGAGUGCGGUAGGGGAGAUUGGAAUUCCUGGUGUAGCGGUGGAAUGCGCAGAUAUCAGGAGGAACACCGAUGGCGAAGGCAGAUCUCUGGGCCGUAACUGACGCUGAGGAGCGAAAGGGUGGGGAGCAAACAGG